rnacentral:rRNA from 1 species
GAUUAACGCUGGCGGCAUGCCUAAUACAUGCAAGUCGAACGGAAGCAGCAAUGCUUUAGUGGCGAACGGGUGAGUAACACGUAGGGAACCUACCUAUACGACGAGGAUAACUACUGGAAACGGUAGCUAAAACUGGAUAGGAUCAAUUGAGGCAUCUUGAUUGAUUUAAAGAUCCUUCGGGAUUACGUAGAGAUGGCCCUGCGGCGCAUUAGCUAGUUGGUGAGGUAACGGCCCACCAAGGCGACGAUGCGUAGCUGAGCUGAGAGGCUAAACAGCCACACUGGGACUGAGACACGGCCCAGACUCCUACGGGAGGCAGCAGUCGGGAAUAUUGGGCAAUGGGCGAAAGCCUGACCCACGCAAUGCCGCGUGAGUGAUGAAGGUCUUCGGAUCGUAAAGCUCUGUCUUCAGGGACGAACAAGGUGACGGUACCUGAGGAGGAAGCCCC